AACUAGCUCUAUCUCUAAAUCACUUCCUCGCAACGAGUAAACAAACAUGGCGCAAGUGAAAGAUUUAAAAAACGCUAUUUCUGAAAGUUUGGAAAGAAAAGGUGUCCUGAACCAGGUGAAAGCUCAGAUACGUGCUGAGAUGUUCCACGUACUAGAUGAACAUUCAGAAGGAAAACCUCCAAUAUGUAAUGAAAACCUCAUUAUCAAUGAAUUGAUCUUAGAAUAUCUCCAGUAUAACAAAUACAAACACACUUCUUCAGUUCUUAUGGCAGAGGCUGGUCAGUCUGAAACUCGUUUAGACAGAGAAUUUAUCAAGAAUGAACUCAACAUUGCUGAGGAUUUAGAGACCAGCAGUGUCCCGUUGUUGUAUUCUCUAGUGAAUUUCUUCCUGCAACAAAGUGCUGGCAGCAAAACCAAAGUCACUAAGAAAGAAACUUGGCAAUAACACUUCAGAAUUGUAUGUGUUUCAUGUUUAGAUGUGUUUGUGCAAUGACAGGAUUGUCUACAGUUUGCAAUGAGAACUACUAUGCAGUUUUUUCAUGAAAAGGAUUCUACAUGUGUGUGUGUCUGUGUGUGUGUGUGCGAGAGAAAGAGAGAGAGAGAGAGAGAGUGAGUGAGUGUAUUUGUUUAGACAAAUAUUCAUAGCUGAACAGACAGCCACAGUAGGUACUGCUCUGCUAAUAGAAACUGAAGCAAAACUUUCUAGGUGCAGAUUGGUGCCAUAGAAUUAUGUGUGUAUGUGUGUGUAAGAAGGGAGGGAAAGAAACUGCUGGAAUUCUGGGAUGCAAAUGACUUGAAUGACGUGAAUUUUAAGAUAUUAGCCAUCCACUUGAUUACCUAUCAAUAUGGUAAGUACACAAGAAAGAUUAACUACAUUCUCUCCAGAAUAUGAGAUGGGCAGAUGCUUGUAAAUGCAAUCUUUCUAUAGUGAAAAAUGUAUAAUCCAAAAUAAGUUAGUGAUUAGUGACUUCAAACUCAGAGCUACAAGGACUCAGAAAAGCAAACCAGUCUGGAAAAGGAAGAUAUAGAUGCAUAAAGACCCAGUAAGUAGUCAGAAAGUUAGAGAAAUUGAGUGGACGCAUUUGACAUAGAGAACAAUUGGAAGUUGCUACCGGACAAACUACUGAGAGUUACAGACCAAACCUGAGGCUGAUGCAAAGUUUUGGCCAGACAAAAGUUGUUGGUGUGGUGGUGCAACAGUGAAGUAGCCAGAGCUAUAAAAGUGUAAAGACAGUCUUGGAAAGACUGGAAAAAUAGAAAUGACAGAGAAUUUUAUCAGGUAGCCAGAAGAUUAGUGUGGGAGAAAGGUUUACACAGCUAAGGGAGAAGCAGAAAGUAGGAAAUCUGUCUGUUCAACAUGAGGAUCAGAGACAUGAGAUAUUUUGGUUUGCAAGACAAUAUAUCAGAGAGAAUCAGGAUGUUGUGGGUGAGAAGUGUAUGUGAAAAGAUGAUCCACUGUCCAUACUCACCUUUUUUUUAACUUGAGUUUGUUCUGGUACCCCUUACAAAGAUCAAGUUUCAUCACCUUAUCCCAUGUCUUCCUGGGUCUACCUCUAUCACAGUUUCCCUCCACAGUCAGAGAUUGACACUUCUUAUGCCCAACUUUUCUCUCAAAAUGCUUACAUUCUGUUGUACAUGCACACUGACAUUGCACAUCCAGUGAAGCAUACUGGCUUCAUUUCUUUCAAGCCUACGUAUGUCCUCGGUUGUCAC
rnacentral:misc_RNA from 1 species